GAUGAACGCUGGCGGCGUGCCUAAUACAUGCAAGUCGAGCGAACAGACGAGAAGCUUGCUCCUCUGACGUUAGCGGCGGACGGGUGAGUAACACGUGGAUAACCUACCUAUAAGACUGGGAUAACUUCGGGAAACCGGAGCUAAUACCGGAUAAUAUAUUGAACCGCAUGGUUCAAUAGUGAAAGACGGUUUUGCUGUCACUUAUAGAUGGAUCCGCGCCGCAUUAGCUAGUUGGUAAGGUAACGGCUUACCAAGGCAACGAUGCGUAGCCGACCUGAGAGGGUGAUCGGCCACACUGGAACUGAGACAAGGUCCAGACUCCUACGGGAGGCAGCAGUAGGGAAUCUUCCGCAAUGGGCGAAAGCCUGACGGAGCAACGCCGCGUGAGGGAUGAAGGUCUUCGGAUCGUAAAACUCUGUUAUUAGGGAAGAACAAAUGUGUAAGUAACUAUGCACGUCUUGACGGUACCUAAUCAGAAAGCCACGGCUAACUACGUG
rnacentral:rRNA from 1 species